CAUGCAAGUCGAGCGGAAACGACAMYAWCRAWYCUUCGGRYGMKUUAAUGGGCGUCGAGCGGCGGACGGGUGAGUAAUGCCUAGGAAAUUGCCUUGAUGUGGGGGAUAACCAUUGGAAACGAUGGCUAAUACCGCAUAAUGCCUACGGGCCAAAGAGGGGGAYCUUCGGRCCUCUCGCGUCAAGAUAUGCCUAGGUGGGAUUAGCUAGUUGGUGAGGUAAUGGCUCACCAAGGCGACGAUCCCUAGCUGGUCUGAGAGGAUGAUCAGCCACACUGGAACUGAGACACGGUCCAGACUCCUACGGGAGGCAGCAGUGGGGAAUAUUGCACAAUGGGCGCAAGCCUGAUGCAGCCAUGCCGCGUGUAUGAAGAAGGCCUUCGGGUUGUAAAGUACUUUCAGUUGUGAGGAAGGGKGUGUMGUUAAUAGCKKYAUMUCUUGACGU
rnacentral:rRNA from 1 species